rfam:Triticum aestivum genome assembly, contig: Triticum_aestivum_CS42_TGACv1_scaffold_221606_3B
GUUGUACUCCCUCCGUCCAGAAAUACUUGUCAUCAAAAUAGAUAAAAAGGGAUGUAUCUAGAUGUAUUUUAGUUCUAGAUACAUCUCAUUUUAUCCAUUUUGGUGACAAGUAUUUUCGGAUGGAGGAAGUAAGAG